UACGGAGGUGGCAAGCGUUGCUCGGAAUCACUGGGCGUAAAGGGCGCGUAGGCGGGGAGGUAAGUCGGGUGUGAAAUCCCUCGGCCCAACCGAGGAACUGCGCCCGAGACUGCUUCUCUUGAGUCCCGGAGAGGAAGAUGGAAUUCCCGGUGUAGCGGUGAAAUGUGUAGAGAUCGGGAGGAACACCGGUGGCGAAGGCGGCCAACUGGACGAAUACUGACGCUGAGACUCGAAAGCGUGGGGAGCAAACAGG
rnacentral:rRNA from 1 species